UGUUUCGGCAAGGGGGUCAUCCCGACUUACCAACCCGAUGCAAACUGCGAAUACCGGAGAAUGUUAUCACGGGAGACACACGGCGGGUGCUAACGUCCGUCGUGAAGAGGGAAACAACCCAGACCGCCAGCUAAGGUCCCAAAGUCAUGGUUAAGUGGGAAACGAUGUGGGAAGGCCCAGACAGCCAGGAUGUUGGCUUAGAAGCAGCCAUCAUUUAAAGAAAGCGUAAUAGCUCACUGGUCGAGUCGGCCUGCGCGGAAGAUGUAACGGGGCUAAACCAUGCA
rnacentral:rRNA from 1 species